CCCGGAGAACUGAAACAUCUUAGUACCCGGAGGAAGAGAAAGAAAAUUCGAUUCCCUUAGUAGCGGCGAGCGAAACGGGAAGAGCCCAAACCAACAAGCUUGCUUGUUGGGGUUGUAGGACACUCUAUACGGAGUUACAAAGGACGACAUUAGACGAAUCAUCUGGAAAGAUGAAUCAAAGAAGGUAAUAAUCCUGUAGUCGAAAAUGUUGUCUCUCUUGAGUGGAUCCUGAGUACGACGGAGCACGUGAAAUUCCGUCGGAAUCUGGGAGGACCAUCUCCUAAGGCUAAAUACUCUCUAGUGACCGAUAGUGAACCAGUACCGUGAGGGAAAGGUGAAAAGCACCCCGGAAGGGGAGUGAAAUAGAACCUGAAACCGUGUGCUUACAAGUAGUCAGAGCCCGUUAAUGGGUGAUGGCGUGCCUUUUGUAGAAUGAACCGGCGAGUUACGAUUUGAUGCAAGGUUAAGCAGUAAAUGUGGAGCCGUAGCGAAAGCGAGUCUGAAUAGGGCGUUUAGUAUUUGGUCGUAGACCCGAAACCAGGUGAUCUACCCUUGGUCAGGUUGAAGUUCAGGUAACACUGAAUGGAGGACCGAACCGACUUACGUUGAAAAGUGAGCGGAUGAACUGAGGGUAGCGGAGAAAUUCCAAUCGAACCUGGAGAUAGCUGGUUCUCUCCGAAAUAGCUUUAGGGCUAGCCUCAAGUGAUGAUUAUUGGAGGUAGAGCACUGUUUGGACGAGGGGCCCCUCUCGGGUUACCGAAUUCAGACAAACUCCGAAUGCCAAUUAAUUUAACUUGGGAGUCAGAACAUGGGUGAUAAGGUCCGUGUUCGAAAGGGAAACAGCCCAGACCACCAGCUAAGGUCCCAAAAUAUAUGUUAAGUGGAAAAGGAUGUGGCGUUGCCCAGACAACUAGGAUGUUGGCUUAGAAGCAGCCAUCAUUUAAAGAGUGCGUAAUAGCUCACUAGUCGAGUGACACUGCGCCGAAAAUGUACCGGGGCUAAACAUAUUACCGAAGCUGUGGAUUGUCCUUUGGACAAUGGUAGGAGAGCGUUCUAAGGGCGUUGAAGCAUGAUCGUAAGGACAUGUGGAGCGCUUAGAAGUGAGAAUGCCGGUGUGAGUAGCGAAAGACGGGUGAGAAUCCCGUCCACCGAUUGACUAAGGUUUCCAGAGGAAGGCUCGUCCGCUCUGGGUUAGUCGGGUCCUAAGCUGAGGCCGACAGGCGUAGGCGAUGGAUAACAGGUUGAUAUUCCUGUACCACCUAUAAUCGUUUUAAUCGAUGGGGGGACGCAGUAGGAUAGGCGAAGCGUGCGAUUGGAUUGCACGUCUAAGCAGUAAGGCUGAGUAUUAGGCAAAUCCGGUACUCGUUAAGGCUGAGCUGUGAUGGGGAGAAGACAUUGUGUCUUCGAGUCGUUGAUUUCACACUGCCGAGAAAAGCCUCUAGAUAGAAAAUAGGUGCCCGUACCGCAAACCGACACAGGUAGUCAAGAUGAGAAUUCUAAGGUGAGCGAGCGAACUCUCGUUAAGGAACUCGGCAAAAUGACCCCGUAACUUCGGGAGAAGGGGUGCUCUUUAGGGUUAACGCCCAGAAGAGCCGCAGUGAAUAGGCCCAAGCGACUGUUUAUCAAAAACACAGGUCUCUGCUAAACCGUAAGGUGAUGUAUAGGGGCUGACGCCUGCCCGGUGCUGGAAGGUUAAGAGGAGUGGUUAGCUUCUGCGAAGCUACGAAUCGAAGCCCCAGUAAACGGCGGCCGUAACUAUAACGGUCCUAAGGUAGCGAAAUUCCUUGUCGGGUAAGUUCCGACCCGCACGAAAGGCGUAACGAUUUGGGCACUGUCUCAACGAGAGACUCGGUGAAAUCAUAGUACCUGUGAAGAUGCAGGUUACCCGCGACAGGACGGAAAGACCCCGUGGAGCUUUACUGUAGCCUGAUAUUGAAAUUCGGCACAGCUUGUACAGGAUAGGUAGGAGCCUUUGAAACGUGAGCGCUAGCUUACGUGGAGGCGCUGGUGGGAUACUACCCUAGCUGUGUUGGCUUUCUAACCCGCACCACUUAUCGUGGUGGGAGACAGUGUCAGGCGGGCAGUUUGACUGGGGCGGUCGCCUCCUAAAAGGUAACGGAGGCGCUCAAAGGUUCCCUCAGAAUGGUUGGAAAUCAUUCAUAGAGUGUAAAGGCAUAAGGGAGCUUGACUGCGAGACCUACAAGUCGAGCAGGGUCGAAAGACGGACUUAGUGAUCCGGUGGUUCCGCAUGGAAGGGCCAUCGCUCAACGGAUAAAAGCUACCCCGGGGAUAACAGGCUUAUCUCCCCCAAGAGUUCACAUCGACGGGGAGGUUUGGCACCUCGAUGUCGGCUCAUCGCAUCCUGGGGCUGUAGUCGGUCCCAAGGGUUGGGCUGUUCGCCCAUUAAAGCGGUACGCGAGCUGGGUUCAGAACGUCGUGAGACAGUUCGGUCCCUAUCCGUCGUGGGCGUAGGAAAUUUGAGAGGAGCUGUCCUUAGUACGAGAGGACCGGGAUGGACAUACCUCUGGUGUACCAGUUGUCGUGCCAACGGCAUAGCUGGGUAGCUAUGUGUGGACGGGAUAAGUGCUGAAAGCAUCUAAGCAUGAAGCCCCCCUCAAGAUGAGAUUUCCCAACUUCGGUUAU
rnacentral:rRNA from 1 species